rnacentral:rRNA from 1 species
GACGAACGCUGGCGGCGUGCCUAAUACAUGCAAGUAGAACGCUGAAGGAGGAGCUUGCUCUUUCCGGAUGAGUUGCGAACGGGUGAGUAACGCGUAGGUAACCUGCCUGGUAGCGGGGGAUAACUAUUGGAAACGAUAGCUAAUACCGCAUAAGAGUAGAUGUUGCAUGACAUUUGCUUAAAAGGUGCAAUUGCAUCACUACCAGAUGGACCUGCGUUGUAUUAGCUAGUUGGUGGGGUAACGGCUCACCAAGGCGACGAUACAUAGCCGACCUGAGAGGGUGAUCGGCCACACUGGGACUGAGACACGGCCCAGACUCCUACGGGAGGCAGCAGUAGGGAAUCUUCGGCAAUGGACGGAAGUCUGACCGAGCAACGCCGCGUGAGUGAAGAAGGUUUUCGGAUCGUAAAGCUCUGUUGUAAGAGAAGAACGAGUGUGAGAGUGGAAAGUUCACACUGUGACGGUAUCUUACCAGAAAGGACGGCU